UCCCCAAUAGCUCAGCGGUAGAGUAGGUGACUGUUAAUCACUUGGUCGCAUGUUCGAAUCAUGCUUGGGGAGCCA
rnacentral:tRNA from 1 species